rnacentral:rRNA from 1 species
GAUGAACGCUAGCGGCAGGCUUAACACAUGCAAGUCGAGGGGUAUAGUAGCAAUACUAGAGACCGGCGCACGGGUGCGUAACGCGUAUGCAAUCUACCUUUCACAGAGGGAUAGCCCAGAGAAAUUUGGAUUAAUACCUCAUAGUAUAGUAUCUUGGCAUCAAGGAACUAUUAAAGUCACAACGGUGAAAGAUGAGCAUGCGUCCCAUUAGUUAGUUGGUAAGGUAACGGCUUACCAGGACUACGAUGGGUAGGGGUCCUGAGAGGGAGAUCCCCCACACGGGUACUGAGACACGGACCAGACUCCUACGGGAGGCAGCAGUGAGGAAUAUUGGACAAUGGGCGCAAGCCUGAUCCAGCCAUGCCGCGUGCAGGAUGACGGUCCUAUGGAUUGUAAACUGCUUUUGUACAGGAAGAAACACCCCGACGUGUCGGGACUUGACGGUACUGUAAGAAUAAGGAUCGGCUAACUCCGUGCCAGCCGCCGCAGUAA